rnacentral:rRNA from 1 species
AAGGUUGGGAAGGUUUAUUGGGAUUAAUUGGGGGUAAAGCGCAUGCAGGUGGUUUGUUAAGUCAGAUGUGAAAGCCCGGGGCUCAACCUCGGAAUUGCAUUUGAAACUGGCAAACUAGAGUACUGUAGAGGGGGGUAGAAUUUCAGGUGUAGCGGUGAAAUGCGUAGAGAUCUGAAGGAAUACCGGUGGCGAAGGCGGCCCCCUGGACAGAUACUGACACUCAGAUGCGAAAGCGUGGGGAGCAAACAGGAUUAGAUACCCUGGUAGUCCACGCCGUAAACGAUGUCUACUUGGAGGUUGUGGCCUUGAGCCGUGGCUUUCGGAGCUAACGCGUUAAGUAGACCGCCUGGGGAGUACGGUCGCAAGAUUAAAACUCAAAUGAAUUGACGGGGGCCCGCACAAGCGGUGGAGCAUGUGGUUUAAUUCGAUGCAACGCGAAGAACCUUACCUACUCUUGACAUCUACAGAAGCCAGCGGAGACGCAGGUGUGCCUUCGGGAACUGUAAGACAGGUGCUGCAUGGCUGUCGUCAGCUCGUGUUGUGAAAUGUUGGGUUAAGUCCCGCAACGAGCGCAACCCUUAUCCUUGUUUGCCAGCACUUCGGGUGGGAACUCCAGGGAGACUGCCGGUGAUAAGCCGGAGGAAGGUGGGGACGACGUCAAGUCAUCAUGGCCCUUACGAGUAGGGCUACACACGUGCUACAAUGGCGCAUACAGAGGGCGGCCAACUUGCGAAAGUGAGCGAAUCCCAAAAAGUGCGUCGUAGUCCGGAUUGGAGUCUGCAACUCGACUCCAUGAAGUCGGAAUCGCUAGUAAUCGUGGAUCAGAAUGCCACGGUGAAUACGUUCCCGGGCCUUGUACACACCGCCCGUCACACCAUGGGAGUGGGCUGCAAAAGAAGUGGGUAGUUUAACCUUCGGGAGGACGCUCACCACUUUGUGGUUCAUGACUGGGGUGAAGUCGUAACAAGGUAACCG